AAUGUGAGACUUUCAAGCUAGUUCUACAUACUCCAGUACUGUUCUUGUGUAGGUGCAGAGUAUAUCUCAAAGGAAUAUGGGUUCUGGUUCCUAAAAGCUAGUCUUGUGUAAAAGAAAUUUUUUUGUAGUAUUAACACAUCUGCACAGCAUAAUGAAACUGCAUUCAGAAAUAUUUUAUCAACAGAUUUAGCAUGUCUGUUGGAUGUCUUGGAACGAAACCCAGGUGGUUUGGAGACUGUAUGUUGGGAAAAGCUGAGAGAGCGCCGCGAGAUGUACAAUGCUGCUAUGAAGCUGACGAAUGUUAAGACGUUGGGGGAACUGGUGGAACGUGUCUCCAACUCCCCUGAGAGGAGCUACCUCCUCCUGAUUAUGAUCACACUAAUUGGAGUUAUCUUUGUUGGUGGUCUGUUUUGUGGACGCGUCACAAAACGGUACAAAUUACAUAAGGAUAGAUAAAGAUGAUUCAGAAUUUAGCCAAGAGACCUGAAUGGAAAAGGUGUGUAUCUUUUAUGACUAAAAUUACUGAGUGAGAGAAAUAUGUCAAAUAUAUACUUAGACAAUAUUGGAAGUAUAAUUUACCUGCAAAGGGAUUAACUAAUGGAGAUUUUAAAGUUUAGUUUUUUUAUUCUGCAUCUUUAUAAUAGAACCCUUUGACAGUUUGCGUAGAAUUUGGAAGACCAGUAUAUAUAUACAUAUAUGCAUACAGAAUAUUGCAUAGAAAAUUAGUGAGAAGGUGUCCAUCUCAAUCAAUAGGUUAGAAAUAUAGUAAGAAUUUAUUUAAAUAAAUCACUAUAUAUAUAACUUAGUAUAAUAGUAUAUUAGAAGUACAGUAUGUCAUUUGCAUUACCGGAAUUGCUCAUUCACCAUAUUUCUGCCUUGUUGAUUAUACCUCAGUGUUCUUCAUGUAAACAGUUUUUUUAAUACUAGCAUUUGACAUACUCUCAUUAUAUUUAUUGGUACAGACAAAUGAAUCUGUAUUAUUUCUUUGUCACAAUGGCAUUAUGAAAAGAAUUGUAAAUAUAGAAAAAAAACCAAAGGUAUAGUUGCUAAGUGUGCUCUUUAUUUUGACAUUUUUAUUAAUUAGCAUUAAAAUAUUCCCAUUAUAAAAAAUUAUACAAAAAUAAUGAUUUAAUUUACUGUUGAAAUUAACUGAAGGCUUAAUUUACCAUAUUUUCCAUAAUAUAAGACGCUUUUUGAUUUUUAGUGAUUUGUUUAGUAUAUACUGUCUUACAUGAUUUACUAUGUUCAAAAAUCACAUUUUUGAAGUCAAUAUUGCAUGCAGCAAAAUAAAAGAAAACUGUUAUAUAAAGGUGAGAUACUUUAGUGUGUGUAAACAUGCCUGGUAUAUAUAUGUUGUGUAUCUUUAUACGUAUAUGCUUCUAAGCUGUUGUAUUCUGAGCACCUCUGCAAAAACAUUGAUUAUGUGUAAGUGAGUUGAAAGUGUUGAAUGAUGAUGAAAGUAUUUUCUUUUUGGGGAUUUUCUUUCUUUUUGGGUCACCCUGCCUCAGUGGGAGACGGCCGACUUGUUGAAAAAAAAAUAUAUAUGUAUUAAUAGGAAAUUCUGUACUGGAUAUUAAAUUAUAAAUUCUUACCAGUAUAGAAUAAACAAAACUCAAAUUUAUUAUAAAAAUUAAAAAAAUUAAUAGAGUAUAUUGAAUGCAGCAAAAGGGAUAAACAAUGUACUACAUAUAACAAAGAUUUUAUUCAUCUUUGAAGUUAAAGAACUCUUCUAUUUUCAUUACUGUAUUUUGUCACUUCAGGUUUAUCUUGCAUAGCAUUAUCCAGUCUUAUUUGUUGGCAGCAAUAAAGUAAAUUUUGAAGUUAAAGCAGAUUUGGACAGCAACAGAUUGUUAACCAUCUUGAAGCAUUAUUUUAAGUGCUUGUUGUACCACCUAUCACAGUCUAACAACUGUUUGAAUGAAUUGCAAAUGAAGGAAAAUGUUGUUCAUGGAAUAACAUAAUGACUUUGGUAAACAUCUGAUAAAUGGACAGGAUAACAAUCAAUUCUUAAUCUGAGCUCUCAGUGUUGUGCUUAAUUUUUGGAAUAAUGAUGAAAGUUUUUUCUUUUUGGGUCACCCUGCCUCAGUGGGAAACGGCCAACGUGUUAAAAAAAAAUUAUGACUGAAGGUUGAAGCAGUGUUUGGUGGCUGGGAAUAUAGAAUAGUUAGGAUUAUUUCUCCCAGAAAUAAAAAGAUGGUAUAUUUUCUAAGGUCAGCAGAGAUGUUCGUGAAGAUUCUGUAUCUCAUGUUGGAUGUUAACAAGGACUCCUGUCUGUGCUUGGUAGUUGUACAACUUUCAGUGCUUGGGAGAGGAUGUAUUAGCAACUUUCAAUUCAAUAUAUCCAGUCUUUGUGGAUCCUGUUCCCAAUUUUAAGACAGCAUCUGCUUUAGGCUGACCAUCCCAGCAGUGAGAGUUGGCAAUAAACAAAAAAAACACCAGUUACCAGAUAGCUGCAUACAUAUAACACAAAGGAAAGACAAAGGUGAUAUUAGUUUCAUUACUUUAAUGUCACUACUGGUAACCAUAAUAAACUGAAACCCUAAGAACAAUAUUCUGGUAGACUACCUUAUCUGAUUGGUAGAGAAGUGGAGGUGAAGUGACUAACUUCACUCCAGACAAAACCCCGGUAAGAGGUAUACUACCAGGAUUGGAACCAAGAUCUUUGAAUAAGCCUAGUAGAUGGCAGGACUGGCGGCAAAUCUCGGCUGCAGGUUUCCCUGAAUUGGAAAUUCCUUUAAUCAACAAAUUUACAACCUUUUCCCUCACACAAAUGUUAAUAAACUCUGAUUACUGUUUGAAUGUUUAAUUGAUUCUGAGCCCUAGUUUCUUGUAAAUGAAAACACUUCCUGUUAUCUUGAAUAUUAUUGUUGAUUCUUGCUUUGCCUAUUUCUGACUUUCAGCAUGACUUGUAAUCUUAUAGGUGUCAGGGUUAAUGAAAAUUGGCAGGAGAGAAGGAAGAAGUAAAAACAAAUUUAGUGACACUAAACAGCUAAGUAGAGGCACAUGUCAGCUGAUGAGUUAAAGGGAUAAGCUUAGCUAGCAGUUAGUGCUUAAAAGCUAAAUCCUUUUACAUUUCUUCUCUAGAGUCCUACAUGUACAUCAUCCUAUUUUGCUAGAAAUAAUUGGGAAAGCUGGCAACACAUGUCAGCAGGUUUUCAGUGUAACUAAAGUUGUAACUUUCUUUUGAAUUGAAAGAGAAAUGGAAGGGAAGGCAGCUUAACAGUCUCUGCCACCUUUGUAAGAGCAGUGACUAGCAUCACUUUACCAUUUUUAUUCUGUUACUGAAAGUUUGCCACAUUUUCUGCCAUUUGUGAGCCUUCACAUGCAUAUACCUUAUAGGGGUGUAUCAGCAGAGCGAUAACAUACACCAUUAUAUUUUGCUGCAAAUCCCAGGACAUUCUGCUUAUUUCUGGCAUGUGGCCAUUGUAUUUUUAUUGUUACAGAAAAUGAUAUAGUGUAUGCAGACAGCUAGUCAUAUGCCCUUUUGUCUUGCCACUGCCAUCCAUCACUCUUCUCAAAUGUAUACCCUCUACAAAUACCCAUAUAUAUAUAUAUACUUUGUAUAUUUUUGUUAGGAAUUACGAGAAAAUGAGGUGUGUGGGUGAGUGGGAAGCAGCCCUUUUCUCUUCCUGUCUUGUACUGCCACCUCCCUCUCUGUUAUUUUGUUUUCUUUGGCUGCAUGAGACAAUGACUUUUGGAUUUUUAUUAUAAAUAGUGUCUUAUAUGAUGGAAAAUUCAGCACACUUGUUGUAACUUGACCAUAAAGUAGUGUUUGUGCAUAGGUUUUUAGUAUAAAAUUACAAAUAAAUUUGAUUUUAAUCCAACCCUGAUGAUUAAAUUUAAUACAGACUUUUAAUUUUGUGAAGAACUAGUAAGCAGAAAAAGUAAAUUUGCUUAGCAUUUUCGGUGUAGAUGUAAAAAAUUUUUUUUUUUAUUGUAAAGAUAGAAAUUGCAUAAAGAAAUAGAUAAAGCCCAAUUUAACAUGUGAGAAAUAGUAUAUAGUGGAACCUCGGCUUACGAACGCCCCACCAUGCGAACUUUUCAGGAUAUGAACCGUCGUUCUGUCGAUUUUUUGCUUCUGGAUGCGAAUGAAAUUUCAGGAUGUGUACUUCCCCCUCAAGGGAGGUUCCUUAAAUAAAUAAAUAAAUAAUUUAUUUCUUUGCAAAGGUUACAAAGUGUGUUUACAUAUCAUAAUAUGAUUGGGGCAAAGGAAGCCACUAUCAUGCUGAGGCAUGAUGGGAAAAGUAGUGGUUACCAAUGUUUUGCUGAUGGUGGUGCCAACUAAUGGCAGCCUUUUGAAGUUUCUCCUUACUGUUGUUAUUAUCAUUAUUAUUAUUAUAUUGUAUUAUUAUUAUAAUAAUUAUUGUUAUUAUUAUUAGUAGUAGUAGUAUGUAUGUGGUGAGGGGCUUUUGAUUUAGGGAAUUGGAUCUGUGUUCCAUUUCUCUAAAUUACACCUGAAUACCUUCCAUCCCCUUUCCCCCACAAGUGCUUCUCCAUUACAAUAAUAAUAAUAAUGUAAUAAUAAUAAUAAUAUAAUGUACUAUAAUUUUAAUAGACUGCUUCAAAAGGCCAUCACUAGAUAGCAGUGAAUACCACAACAAUGCAGGAGCGGUUAUGGCCGCCUUCACUUGUCACACAGUGACAUAUUUUAUUCAUUCUAGAGUAUUUAUCAGGUUUCUAUGUUAUUUAUAUUGUUUAUUAUGUCAUAUUAGAUCAAUUGUGAUAGAUAAAUGAGCUGUAGAGUUGAUAUUAGCAAUAUAUUAAAGUGUAUUUUUCCUGCCUCUUGAGAGCAGGAAUUCCACCAGAACAGAUUAAUGGCUUUUCAGUUAAUUUAAAUGAGGAAAAUUGACUCGGCAUAUGAACAAAUCAGGAUACGAACAAGGUCACGGAACGGAUUAAGUUCGUAAGCCGAGGUUCCACUGUACUGUAGACUAUUAAGAUGGUAUAUAUUAUAUCCAUCAAGAUACACUGCACAGUAUGUAUAUCCAGUUUGGGAUAAAUCAGAUGCCAUUUUUAUAGAUUUUCUAUGAAAUUACAUAACUCUAGUGUAUAUAUGAAAUUUAUUUUAAAAGUCCAUUCUCAAAAAAUUGCCUUUUUCAAGAGUCAUUAAUAUAAGGUUACAAGAAACUGGCACAUCUUGUCUCAAAACCCUUCUGAUGUGGUGUUCAAUUCUAUCUACAUUUUUAUAUUUUCAAUCUAGUAGUUUUAUAUAUAUGUACAUGUAUAUAUAUAUAUACAUGCAGUCACCUCCACAAAUUCAUCGUGUCCAUUUUUGCAUAAUUUGAUUGUCUAUUGUUGUUAUUGAUGGCCAUUCCUCAGAUAGACUAGAUUAUCCACAGUUUUUCUCAUGGACCCAUUUUUUCAAGCAGUGUGUUAGACCCCCAAACUGUAAACUAACCAAAGGAUUUCAUUCAAAAUUUUUUUUCACAGGCUUUCCCCACACCCAAAUUUCUCUUCCUUUAAAACAUUUUUUCUUGUAAUUGUUAAUAUUAUCCAGAUUAGAGGAAUAUUUAGAGAUAGACCGCUUGUAAAAACUGAAAAUGAUUUUUAAUCGGAAACUGAAUUUAUUAUGUAGAUAUAAUUUUGCAUUCUUUGAUUCAAAAUUAAUGGGACCACUAGGAAUGUAACACACUGCAGAUUUGUGGAGAUGACUUUAUUGUAUUUUUGUUAUUUAAAAAUGAAAUAUAUAAUAUUUGUUAUGUCAAAAUAGCUGAAUAGGUCUAAACCUUUGAGAAACAGGUAUACUGUACUGAACAAUGCAACGAACUUUUUAGAAAAUGACACGGCCCUGUUCCUGAGGAUGCCGUCUUUGAGAGAUUACAGUAGUUAUCAUGCCUGACCUCAUUGUUACUGUGAGAAUUAACUAUACUGGAGCAGUAAGACUUGAGAUACAACAAAUAUUUAAUGCCAUGGUAGAGGUUACAGAGUCCACUCCCAAGACCUAGAAUUUAGUAGAAUGUCUAUUUUUGUAAUGGAAAAUUUUAAUAGAAAAAUUGUUCUUUAAUACCUACUGUUUCAUUUUUUGAAUUUACUUCAUUAUAGCAUAAUAAUAAUGGUAAGAUUUCUCCCUGAAUCAAGAUACAAGUUGUUGUAGAAUUAAAUUUCCCAGUUGUACCGUUUAAUAUGAUGAAAUACCCACUGCUUUUUAACAGUCCCAACAAAGUUAUAAAGAAGACAAAAUACCAUAACAAUACACACACAACCCUUAUUUUCUUAAUGUUUAAUUUUUUAAUAAAACAGGUAUGUGGCAUUCAUUUGUUACCUAUAUCACAGCAUUCCAUAUAAUAUGCAGUUUGUAGAUUAGUUGUAGUUUUGGAUUGGGAUUGGGUGCACUAAAUGCAGUAUUAUACAGUAUGUACUCGUGAUUAUUGAAGUUCAUUAUUAUUAAUUAUGGUAAUAAUUUAGUUAUAUAAGGCAAAAAUUUAAGCAGAAGUUCAUACUGUUUUUGAAUGAUUUGCAUUGCUCCUGUAAAUACUUGUUCAGCUGUGCAUAUCUAUAACUAUAAUAAUAAAGUUGUGACUGAGGAAGUUGCAGGUGUAGGUAAGGUAGAUUUUGUGUAAUUACCUAUUUGUAUGUUUGUGUGUAUGUGUGCAUUUUAAAUAAAGUCAAAGCAGUUAUGAAAUACCAUUCCUUCUCUGUUUUCUAACAGUAUAUUAAUAUAAGUUUUGUAAUAAUAAUAAUGCACAAACCUACUAGGGAUUUGUUCACUUACACUACCUGUUGCAUUGUUAAUCUCUGGGAUUUGAAAUUUAACUGGCCCUUUUCUAUGAAUUAAUGCUGCAUAGAUAAUUUACUCUACUGUAAUUGUUUAUUACAGUUGUGUUGUAAUCAAUAAUUAUACAAUUGAGUUUGCAGGAGGGAGGGAGCUCCAGGUCUUGAUCCUGUUAUUUAACUUUAAACCAACUGACAUUAAAUGGCUUUAUCAUGUAGGGAGUCUA